CCAACGGCCCUCUUUAGGGCCACGAAUCACAUGAAUCCAAAUUGAUU
rfam:Caenorhabditis briggsae complete genome, chrIV